rnacentral:lncRNA from 1 species
UAAAAGAAAAAGAAAAAACAAGAAACUGUUAGCUACUGCAGUAACCGUUUUCGAAUUAGAGUAGCAACUUCAACGUGAAUCCCUUAACCGCACUAAUUCUUCAUCGAAAAGACGAGAUGGAUUAACCAAAAAACAAUCUUCAACAACAGUGAAACACGGAGGAGGAGGAAGCCAUGGCGGAAUGCGGAAUGUUCAAUAAUGUUACAACAGCUUAUGACCAAAAUGCAUGUAGUACGCAACGUUGCACCAAGGCAUCGGUAUCGGCCGAAAUUGGUCGGUGAGGCAUGUUCUUUCUGCUCCAAAGGCUACAUGUCCAUUAGAUUCUGAUUUCCUAUUCUCAACUAGACAACUUCCCAUCAACAUGUCUUCAUACUCCGGCCACAGUGUUGUAGGUACCGUGCACAGCAAAGAGUAGCCCGCGUAUCAAAAUGCAAAAAUCCAGAGCCGUUUGCCAGAGUCUCAGGGAAGGACCCAACAGUAACAAUUGAAACGAGGCCGGCAAAACAAACGAGAGAAGCGCGCAAACGGUUCUCCCCACGAGGGAGGCGAAGACUCCGAAUCCUGGUACGCAAGACGCUAAAGCACCCAAUCCUAACACCACUGCAGACGGAGGGCAUAAACCCCACACUUUCCCAUCUUUCUUUUUGAGCAACUGAGCUCAUCGCCGAGCAGUUUCUGAAACCAUUCUGUGCUUUUCAUCUUAUCUUCAAGAGUUAGAAAGAGAGAGAGAGAGAGAGAGAGAGAGAGAGAGAGUAGGGUUUUGGAGAGGGAAUGAAGAAGAAGAAGACGAUGGUGCUGACGAAGAAGAAGAAGAAGAAGAAGCAGCAACCGCGGCAACCCGCAGCAACCCAGCAGAAGAAGGUGGUGUACAGUAACACUAGUCUUGUCCGAUUUUUUGGACAGGACACUUUUUGUUUUUUGUUUUUUUCUGGACAGGGCACAUUUAUUCAUGUGAGUGAGCGUAGCAUUCUUUUGUCUAAUAAAAUUAAAUACCAC